UGGGGAAUAUUGGACAAUGGGCGAAAGCCUGAUCCAGCCAUGCCGCGUGUGUGAAGAAGGUCUUCGGAUUGUAAAGCACUUUAAGUUGGGAGGAAGGGCAGUAAGCGAAUACCUUGCUGUUUUGACGUUACCGACAGGAUAAGCACCGGCUAACUCUGUGCCAGCAGCCGCGGUAAUACAGAGGGUGCAAGCGUUAAUCGGAAUUACUGGGCGUAAAGCGCGCGUAGGUGGUUCGUUAAGUUGAAUGUGAAAGCCCCGGGCUCAACCUGGGAACUGCAUCCAAAACUGGCGAGCUAGAGUAGGGCAGAGGGUGGUGGAAUUUCCUGUGUAGCGGUGAAAUGCGUAGAUAUAGGAAGGAACACCAGUGGCGAAGGCGACCACCUGGGCUCAUACUGACACUGAGGUGCGAAAGCGUGGGGAGCAAACAGG
rnacentral:rRNA from 1 species